GUGUGCCAUGGGUAACUGUUACAGCCUGCAGAAAGAUCAUGAAACUGCACUGAAGAAUUUUCAACGAGCUGUUCAACUAAAUCCCAGAUUCGCAUAUGCGCACACACUUUGUGGACAUGAGUAUGAACAUGGUCAUUUUGUUUACGAUACAUUUGUGCGUGCGGAUUUUGCAACUUUUUAAGGUCUUCUAAUUCAUUGCUGUUUAACUGGUAUGUUUCGCUAGACGAUUAUGAGAAUGGUAUCAAAUGCUACCAGAGUGCACUCAGGGUUGAUGCAAGGCACUACAAUGCCUGGUAUGGACUUGGAAUGAUAUAUCUUCGCCAAGAGAAGUUUGAGUUCUCUGAACAUCAUUUUCGGA
rnacentral:lncRNA from 1 species